UGCCUUCAUGGAGCGGAGUUCUGCAUGACAUAAAAUAAUGGAAUCUCACAAGAAGUAGGAUCCCAGAUGAAGAAUUGCAAGUCACUCUCAAAUGCAAGGUGUACAGAUGAAGGGUACCUGUCUCUCUGGCAUCUGGAAUCCACAAGGGAAUGCUGUGAAAUCCAAGUCUGGCCCUGUAAAUGCAAACACCUGUCUGUCCUGAGAGAGUUUCAUCAUCUCCAGAGCUGUCUGCAACUCUGCCCUUCUCCAAGCAGGUCAGAGGGACCUGACCCAGGUCCCCCAACUCACCCGCAAG